AGUUGUAGUGCAGUGGUUAAACUGCUAGACUAAUGAUCAGAAGGUUGUGGGUUCAAAUCCCAGCACUA